rnacentral:rRNA from 1 species
AUUGAACGCUGGCGGCAGGCCUCACACAUGCAAGUCGAACGAGUGGCGGACGGGUGAGUAAUGUCUGGGAAACUGCCUGAUGGAGGGGGAUAACUACUGGAAACGGUAGCUAAUACCGCAUACCAUCGGAGGUGCCCAGAGGGGAGUAGCUAGUAGGUGGGGGAAAGGCUCACCUAGGCGACGAUCCCUAGAUGGUCUGAGAGGAUGACCAGACACAAUGGAACGGAGACACGUUGCGGACUCCUACGGUAGGCAGCAGGGGGGAAUAUGGCAAAAUGGGCGCAAGCCUGAUGCAGCCAUGCCGCUUGGAUGAAGAAGGCCUUUGGUUUGUAAAGUACUUUCAGCGGGGAGGCGUUACCCGCAGAAGAAGCACCGGCGAACUCCGUGCCAGCAGCCGCGGUAAUUC